rnacentral:rRNA from 1 species
GACGAACGCUGGCGGCGUGCCUAACACAUGCAAGUCGAACGGAAAGGCCCGGCUCUUGCGGGGUGCUCGAGUGGCGAACGGGUGUGUAACACGUGAGUAACCUGCCCUUGACUUUGGGAUAACUCCAGGAAACUGGGGCUAAUAUCGGAUAGGAGAUCCUGCUGCAUGGUGGGCGAUGGAAAGAUUCGGCGGUUGGGGCUGGUCUCGCAGCUUACGAGCCUGUUUGUGGAGUAGGGGAUUACCAAGGCUUUGACGGGUAGCCGGCCUGAGAGGGGUACCGGCGACAUUAGGCCUGAGAGACGGCCCAGACUGGAACGUGAGGCAGCAGUGGAAAGUAUUGCAGAGUGGGGGGAAGCCAGAUGCAGCAACGCCGCGUGCGUGAUGACGGCCUUCGAGUUGUAAACCACUUUCGCAUGUGACGAAGCGUGAGUGACGGUAAUGGGUAAGGAAGCACCGGCUAACUACGUG